rnacentral:misc_RNA from 1 species
UUUCUGUAGGUGAACCUGCAGAAGGAUCAUUAGUGAAUCAGAAAGGGUAGGUUCCUAUUGGUGGGCCCCUGCUCUUUACAAUUCAUUUCCACACCUGUGCACUUGUUGGGGCUAGGGCGCUUGCCCUGGGACUCUGGCAGAGCAGGAAUCUCGAGGGGGCUUUUGAUGUGUUGGUUGUCCUAAGGGCUAGUAGAAACUAACAACUAUUGACCACUUAUCUCUUGGUUCUCGCAUCGAUGAAGAAGGCAGGAGGUCCAAAGGGCACAAGUCCGAACACCA